rnacentral:rRNA from 1 species
AGCGAACGCUGGCGGCAGGCCUAACACAUGCAAGUCGAACGAACCUUUCGGGGUUAGUGGCGGACGGGUGAGUAAUACGUGGGAACGUGCCUUUAGGUUCGGAAUAACUCAGGGAAACUUGUGCUAAUUCCGAAUGUGCCCUUCGGGGGAAAGAUUUAUCGCCUUUAGAGCGGCCCGCGUCUGAUUAGCUAGUUGGUUGAGGUAAUGGCUCACCAAGGCGACGAUCAGUAGCUGGUCUGAGAGGAUGAUCAGCCACAUUGGGACUGAGACACGGCCCAAACUCCUACGGGAGGCAGCAGUGGGGAAUCUUGCGCAAUGGGCGAAAGCCUGACGCAGCCAUGCCGCGUGAAUGAUGAAGGUCUUAGGAUUGUAAAAUUCUUUCACCGGGGACGAUAAUGACGGUACCCGGAGAAGAAGCCCCGGCUAACUUCGUG